CGGGACACGUGGUAUCCUGUCUGAAUAUGGGGGGACCAUCCUCCAAGGCUAAAUACUCCUGACUGACCGAUAGUGAACCAGUACCGUGAGGGAAAGGCGAAAAGAACCCCGGCGAGGGGAGUGAAAAAGAACCUGAAACCGUGUACGUACAAGCAGUGGGAGCACGCUUAGGCGUGUGACUGCGUACCUUUUGUAUAAUGGGUCAGCGACUUAUAUUCUGUAGCAAGGUUAACCGAAUAGGGGAGCCGAAGGGAAACCGAGUCUUAACUGGGCGUUAAGUUGCAGGGUAUAGACCCGAAACCCGGUGAUCUAGCCAUGGGCAGGUUGAAGGUUGGGUAACACUAACUGGAGGACCGAACCGACUAAUGUUGAAAAAUUAGCGGAUGACUUGUGGCUGGGGGUGAAAGGCCAAUCAAACCGGGAGAUAGCUGGUUCUCCCCGAAAGCUAUUUAGGUAGCGCCUCGUGAAUUCAUCUCCGGGGGUAGAGCACUGUUUCGGCAAGGGGGUCAUCCCGACUUACCAACCCGAUGCAAACUGCGAAUACCGGAGAAUGUUAUCACGGGAGACACACGGCGGGUGCUAACGUCCGUCGUGAAGAGGGAAACAACCCAGACCGCCAGCUAAGGUCCCAAAGUCAUGGUUAAGUGGGAAACGAUGUGGGAAGGCCCAGACAGCCAGGAUGUUGGCUUAGAAGCAGCCAUCAUUUAAAGAAAGCGUAAUAGCUCACUGGUCGAGUCGGCCUGCGCGGAAGAUGUAACGGGGCUAAACCAUGCACCGAAGCUGCGGCAGCGACGCUUAUGCGUUGUUGGGUAGGGGAGCGUUCUGUAAGCCUGUGAAGGUGUACUGUGAGGUAUGCUGGAGGUAUCAGAAGUGCGAAUGCUGACAUAAGUAACGAUAAAGCGGGUGAAAAGCCCGCUCGCCGGAAGACCAAGGGUUCCUGUCCAACGUUAAUCGGGGCAGGGUGAGUCGACCCCUAAGGCGAGGCCGAAAGGCGUAGUCGAUGGGAAACAGGUUAAUAUUCCUGUACUUGGUGUUACUGCGAAGGGGGGACGGAGAAGGCUAUGUUGGCCGGGCGACGGUUGUCCCGGUUUAAGCGUGUAGGCUGGUUUUCCAGGCAAAUCCGGAAAAUCAAGGCUGAGGCGUGAUGACGAGGCACUACGGUGCUGAAGCAACAAAUGCCCUGCUUCCAGGAAAAGCCUCUAAGCAUCAGGUAACAUCAAAUCGUACCCCAAACCGACACAGGUGGUCAGGUAGAGAAUACCAAGGCGCUUGAGAGAACUCGGGUGAAGGAACUAGGCAAAAUGGUGCCGUAACUUCGGGAGAAGGCACGCUGAUAUGUAGGUGAAGUCCCUCGCGGAUGGAGCUGAAAUCAGUCGAAGAUACCAGCUGGCUGCAACUGUUUAUUAAAAACACAGCACUGUGCAAACACGAAAGUGGACGUAUACGGUGUGACGCCUGCCCGGUGCCGGAAGGUUAAUUGAUGGGGUUAGCGCAAGCGAAGCUCUUGAUCGAAGCCCCGGUAAACGGCGGCCGUAACUAUAACGGUCCUAAGGUAGCGAAAUUCCUUGUCGGGUAAGUUCCGACCUGCACGAAUGGCGUAAUGAUGGCCAGGCUGUCUCCACCCGAGACUCAGUGAAAUUGAACUCGCUGUGAAGAUGCAGUGUACCCGCGGCAAGACGGAAAGACCCCGUGAACCUUUACUAUAGCUUGACACUGAACAUUGAGCCUUGAUGUGUAGGAUAGGUGGGAGGCUUUGAAGUGUGGACGCCAGUCUGCAUGGAGCCGACCUUGAAAUACCACCCUUUAAUGUUUGAUGUUCUAACGUGGACCCGUAAUCCGGGUUGCGGACAGUGUCUGGUGGGUAGUUUGACUGGGGCGGUCUCCUCCUAAAGAGUAACGGAGGAGCACGAAGGUUGGCUAAUCCUGGUCGGACAUCAGGAGGUUAGUGCAAUGGCAUAAGCCAGCUUGACUGCGAGCGUGACGGCGCGAGCAGGUGCGAAAGCAGGUCAUAGUGAUCCGGUGGUUCUGAAUGGAAGGGCCAUCGCUCAACGGAUAAAAGGUACUCCGGGGAUAACAGGCUGAUACCGCCCAAGAGUUCAUAUCGACGGCGGUGUUUGGCACCUCGAUGUCGGCUCAUCACAUCCUGGGGCUGAAGUAGGUCCCAAGGGUAUGGCUGUUCGCCAUUUAAAGUGGUACGCGAGCUGGGUUUAGAACGUCGUGAGACAGUUCGGUCCCUAUCUGCCGUGGGCGCUGGAGAAUUGAGGGGGGCUGCUCCUAGUACGAGAGGACCGGAGUGGACGCAUCACUGGUGUUCGGGUUGUCAUGCCAAUGGCACUGCCCGGUAGCUAAAUGCGGAAGAGAUAAGUGCUGAAAGCAUCUAAGCACGAAACUUGCCCCGAGA
rnacentral:rRNA from 1 species